rnacentral:rRNA from 1 species
GACGAACGCUGGCGGCGUGCUUAACACAUGCAAGUCGAACGCUGAAGCUUGGUGCUUGCACUGGGUGGAUGAGUGGCGAACGGGUGAGUAAUACGUGAGUAACCUGCCCUUGACUCUGGGAUAAGCCUGGGAAACUGGGUCUAAUACUGGAUACGACAUGUCACCGCAUGGUGGUGUGUGGAAAGGGUUUUACUGGUUUUGGAUGGGCUCACGGCCUAUCAGCUUGUUGGUGGGGUAAUGGCUCACCAAGGCGACGACGGGUAGCCGGCCUGAGAGGGUGACCGGCCACACUGGGACUGAGACACGGCCCAGACUCCUACGGGAGGCAGCAGUGGGGAAUAUUGCACAAUGGACGGAAGCCUGAUGCAGCGACGCCGCGUGAGGGAUGACGGCCUUCGGGUUGUAAACCUCUUUCAGCACGGAAGAAGCGAAAGUGACGGUACGUGCAGAAGAAGCGCCGGCUAACUACGUG